AUUGAACGCUGGCGGCAUGCCUUACACAUGCAAGUCGAACGGCAGCACGGGGCAACCGGGUGGCGAGUGGCGAACGGGUGAGUAAUACAUCGGAACGUACCCGGAAGUGGGGGAUAACAUAGCGAAAGUUACGCUAAUACCGCAUAUUCUGUGAGCAGGAAAGCGGGGGAUCUCCGGACCGCGCGCUUUAGGAGCGGCCGAUGUCGGACUAGCGAGUUGGUGAGGUAAAGGCUCACCAAGGCGACGAUCCGUAGCGGGUCUGAGUGGAUGGUCCGCCACACUGGGACUGAGACACGGCCCAGACUCCUACGGGAGGCAGCAGUGGGGAAUUUUGGACAAUGGGCGCAAGCCUGAUCCAGCCAUGCCGCGUGAGUGAAGAAGGCCUUCGGGUUGUAAAGCUCUUUCGGCGGGGAAGAAAUUGCUUAGGUUAAUACCUUGAGUAGAUGACGGUACCCGCAUAAGAAGCACCGGCUAACUACGUGCCAGCCGCCGCGGUAACAC
rnacentral:rRNA from 1 species